UCUGUGUCCUUUGUCAUGAAUGCAGAUGUGGAAUAAACCAGCUGUUACCACAAGCCUGACAAGCUCCGGGUGAUUCAUUUGGAAAGGAGACAUCUCACAGAGGUCACAAAGGUCAGCAUCCACAGUGUUGAGCUGACUACUGACAGGUUCCUACCUCCAUAGCACAGCACUUUGAGUCCAACUGACAGAUGAGAGGCAGUUCAGAGAGUGAAUGAGCUCCAGCAGGGGGCGCAGUCACACAAAGUAAAGCACCAACACACUCAGAUGGAGGCCACAUUGAUGCUCCUAAUGUAGCUGCACAAUAAGUUGACUUUAGUGUCUCU